UACGUAGGGGGCAAGCGUUGUCCGGAUUUAUUGGGCGUAAAGAGCUCGUAGGUGGUUCGGUAAGUCGGAUGUGAAAUCUCCAGGCUCAACCCGGAGGGGUCAUUCGAUACUGCCGUGACUAGAGUUCGGUAGGGGAGUGUGGAAUUCCUGGUGGAGCGGUGAAAUGCGCAGAUAUCUGGAGGAACACCGGUGGCGAAGGCGGCAUCCUGGACCGACACUGACACUGAGGAGCGAAAGCCAGGGGAGCAAACGGG
rnacentral:rRNA from 1 species